CACCACCAAUCUAGGAAUACAUUUUGGAAUAUGGCCAUUGAACAUACACAAUAUUCUGUUCUAUAAGGACAGAAACAAAAACAAAAAUGGGAAAUGUAUAAAAAGGAAUUUUUGAGCUGCAACUCUGUAAAUGGGAAGUACAUCUGAAAUUAUUGUGUAAAACAUUUAAAUAUAUGUAUAACUGUUGAGGCCUAAAAUGUGUUUGCCAUAGUUAUAUUGAGAUUAUAAAUAGUUG